UAUUUAUUAGAUAAAAAACCAAUGCCCUUCGGGGCUCCCUGGUGAAUCAUAAUAACUUAACGAAUCGCAUGGCCUUGCGCCGGCGAUGGUUCAUUCAAAUUUCUGCCCUAUCAACUUUCGAUGGUAGGAUAGUGGCCUACCAUGGUAUCAACGGGUAACGGGGAAUUAGGGUUCGACUCCGGAGAGGGAGCCUGAGAAACGGCUACCACAUCCAAGGAAGGSAGCAGGSGCGCAAAUUACCCAAUCCCGACACGGGGAGGUAGUGACAAUAAAUACUGAUACAGGGCUCUUUUGGGUCUUGUAAUUGGAAUGAGUACAAUUUAAAUCCCUUAACGAGGAACAAUUGGAGGGCAAGUCUGGUGCCAGCAGCCGCGGUAAUUCCAGCUCCAAUAGCGUAUAUUAAAGUUGUUGCAGUUAAAAAGCUCGUAGUUGAACCUUGGGCCUGGCUGGCCGGUCCGCCUCACCGCGUGUACUGGUCCGGCCGGGCCUUUCCUUCUGGGGAACCUCAUGCCCUUCACUGGGCGUGUUGGGGAACCAGGACUUUUACUUUGAAAAAAUUAGAGUGUUCAAAGCAGG
rnacentral:rRNA from 1 species